AUGAAUAGAUCUAGCAUUUCCGAAUCAAGAAAGAGUGUGUCAUGGAACGGUUCAUACCGGAGAGUUUAUCUAUCGACGGCGUCGCCGGCGACGGAAAGUUGGAAGCAUGUCGGAAAAUUGGUGGCGAAUAUCGGCGUUGGAGAAGGAUAUAUGAAGGUGAAGUUCAAAAAUUUGAGAAGUAUUACCGGAAAGAGAGGUGGAUUUGAAGGUGAAAAUGGAGGUGGGAGAAGGACACGUGUCAGUUGUGGAUUAGAGCUAGGAUGGUAUCUUAUCUAA